GCUUAAGUCUUUUCUUUAAGGCCUCACAUAAAUUACAUCUAAACAUUUUAUACUAGUAUUAAUAAAUGUGUAUCCAGGAAACGUCUUUAUAUUUUAAGAGAUCAUACAUUGGGAAAGGAAAGAACAGAUUAUGAUGGAUUAAUUAAUGAUGAUUAACCUUCGAAAAUGUGUGAUUUCAUGUAAAUAUGUUCUUUUUGUUUUUUAAAUGUAUAAUAAUGAUGAUGAUGAUGAUAACUGGCAUUUUUAUUAUUAAUAUGUAAUAUCUCACCUGUUUCAUCAUUUUGUUUUGUAGUUAGAGGUACAUCCGUUUUCUUCAACCAGAAUGAAGGCAGUGUUUCAUCUUUGUGGCCCUCGCAUAUGAGCUUAUGUAGAAUUUGAAUUUUCCAUAAGCUGUUUGUCUGUCUACUUGGAUUCACUCAGGUUUUCAAGAUGGCUCUCAAAAAGGAGUGUACUACAAGGUGCAGGCGAAAAUCAUCGAUUAUGCUGUUAGAUAGUAGAUUAAAGAAACCCUUGAAGGUUUCUUGAGGGCCGCUGUGCUGCUGAGUUUAGCUCCAACUUGCUUCAACACACCUGCCCUGGGGUUUCUAGUAUAUCUAGUAAGAGCUUGAUUAGCUGCUUCAGGUGUGUUUGAUUAGAGUGACCGAGUUUGGACACCCCUGCAUUAGAGGGAGAGUAAAUAGUGAGUAAAUUUCACCUUUUGGUGAACAAUCACUUUUUAAAUCUAUAAAAUUAAAGUAUAUGUGCAGCUUUUACAAUGUUAGUGAAGAUAUUUUUCUUGUUUUCCAGGAUGACCUAAUGCCUGUAGUCAGUUGAAUGAUUAUAUACACUAGAUGCCUUGAUUCUGCAUGAAUGGAGGAUUAACCACUAGCAACUGACUCGCCUCCUGUCGGUCACUCUCUUCUAAAUACAAUUUGAAUUUUGACGAGAAGGUCCAUUCAAAGGAUUCUAGAAAUUGUACCAAUUCCAGUCUGGAUCCAGCCUACCUGGUGAACACCACAGAAGACAUCAAAGCUAAUGAGUUUAGAUAACUAGAACUGGACAAACAGAGUUGGCAAAAAUCAAAGCAAACACCACUACAUUACUAUAUUAUUAUUAAAACAAUAAAAAUAUAAAAGAGAUAGAUGGACUUGGUGAGAUUUACCUGUUUUGUGAUGAUUUUGUUUAGCUGUAGAUUUAAAUAUCCAUUGAGAAAAAAUAUUUGCACCAUUAAGAACUGAUCAUAUUGAUCUCUGUUGCUAUCUUAUGGCGGAACAAUGUAACGCCAAACUGCCAAAGAAUUUCCAAUAAAUAUUACUACAAUUUAUAAUCAAAUGUCAUUUGUUGAACAACAACAUGUAACAAACAAGAAUAUAAAGAUGCCAAAUAAAUAAGUCAAAUUGUUAAUGGAUGGCAACAUUUUGUCUGUUUAACUGAGCACAAUGCUUUUUAUGCAUCUGACUCCGCAACAGGAGAGUCAUAACACUUAUUAAAACAUGCUUAAAUCUA